rnacentral:rRNA from 1 species
AUCCUUGGCGAUGGGACCUCCUGCUUGUUCUGGAGAGACCGUUGGAUCUCGGAUCGCUCGGUCAGCGAGCUUGCGCCGGCCGUCCUCGCCUUGGUCCCCAAGCGUCGGAGGCCUACGACGACCGUUGUGCAGGGCCUCCACAAUAGGGCCUGGGUGGGAGAUAUCCAGGGUGCCUUGGGGCCGGCUGCGAUGGUUCAAUACUGUUACAAAUACGUCGAGCUUUGGCGCGCCCUGCAGCCCGUAACCCUAACUCUCGACCCCGACGUGUUACGCUGGAAGUGGACCGACUCGGGCAUCUACACUGCGAAUUCCUGCUACCGAGCCAUGUUUGCUGGCUCCACCAUCGCGCCCAACUGGAAACUCAUCCGGCGCACGUGGGCCCUGCUGCGGAUCCGCAUCUUUGCGUGGCUCGCAAGCCAGGAUCGUUGCUGGUCCGCCGCCCGCCUCUCGCGCCACAGCUUGCCGCAUGACGACCGCUGCAUCUUCUGUGACCAAGUGCUGGAAACCCUCGAUCACCUUCUCGUACAAUGCCCAUUCUCCCGGAUCAUCUGGCAUGAGAUCUUCGCCUGGUGCCGGCUGCCAAUCCCCCCUCCGGACACCGAUGAUUGCUUCCUUGAGUGGUGGGCUGAUUCUACCAGGCGGGUUCCAGCGGCCUUGCAGAAAGGUCUCGCCUCCCUCGCCCUCCUCGCUGCGUGGUCCAUCUGGCGCCACCGGAAUGCAUGCAUCUUCGACCACAUACACCCCUCCACUAUGCUACUUCUAUAG